CGCGUAGGCGGGUCUUUAAGUGAGUGGUGAAAGCUCGGGGCUCAACCCCGAUAGUGCCGUUCAUACUGGGGACCUUGAGUGUGGGAGAGGCGAGUGGAAUUUCUGGUGUAGCGGUGAAAUGCGUAGAUAUCAGAAGGAACACCCAUGGCGAAGGCAGCUCGCUGGCCUACAACUGACGCUGAGGCGCGAAAGCGUGGGGAGCAAACAGGAUUAGAUACCCUGGUAGUCCACGCCCUAAACGAUGAAUGCUAGGUGUUAGUGGUAUCGACCCCACUAGUGCCGCAGCUAACGCAAUAAGCAUUCCGCCUGGGGAGUACGGCCGCAAGGUUGAA
rnacentral:rRNA from 1 species